GCACAAGCGGUGGAGCAUGUGGUUAAUUCGACGCAACGCGAAGAACCUUACCUGGGUUUGACAUCCCGAUCGUAUUCCAUGGAAACAUGGAGGUCAGUUCGGCUGGAUCGGUGACAGGUGCUGCAUGGCUGUCGUCAGCUCGUGUCGUGAGAUGUUGGGUUAAGUCCCGCAACGAGCGCAACCCUUGUCCUUAGUUGCCACCAUUCAGUUGGGCACUCUAAGGAGACUGCCGGUGUUAAACCGGAGGAAGGCGGGGAUGACGUCAAGUCCUCAUGGCCCUUACAUCCCGGGCUACACACGUGCUACAAUGGCAGGUACAGAGGGCUGCAAAGCCGCGAGGUAGAGCGAAUCCCAGAAAACCUGUCUCAGUCCGGAUUGAAGUCUGCAACUCGACUUCAUGAAGGCGGAAUCGCUAGUAACCGCGAAUCAGCAGGUCGCGGUGAAUACGUUCCCGGGCCUU
rnacentral:rRNA from 1 species